UGGGGAAUAUUGCGCAAUGGGGGAAACCCUGACGCAGCGACGCCGCGUGCGGGAUGAAGGCCUUCGGGUUGUAAACCGCUUUUGAUUGGGAGCAAGCCUUUUGGGUGAGUGUACCUUUCGAAUAAGGACCGGCUAAUUACGUGCCAGCAGCCGCGGUAAUACGUAAGGUCCGAGCGUUGUCCGGAAUCAUUGGGCGUAAAGGGUACGUAGGCGGAUAAGCAAGUUAGAAGUGAAAUCCUAUAGCUCAACUAUAGUAAGCUUUUAAAACUGCUCAUCUUGGAGUAUGGAAGGGAAAGUGGAAUUCCUAGUGUAGCGGUGAAAUGCGCAGAUAUUAGGAGGAAUACCGGUGGCGAAGGCGACUUUCUGGCCAUAUACUGACGCUGAGGUACGAAAGCGUGGGUAGCAAACAGG
rnacentral:rRNA from 1 species